rnacentral:rRNA from 1 species
AACGAACGCUGGCGGCAGGCUUAACACAUGCAAGUCGAACGGUUGUAGCAAUACAGCAGUGGCAGACGGGUGAGUAACACGUGGGAACCUUCCUAGGGGUACGGAACAACUCAGGGAAACUUGAGCUAAUACCGUAUACGUCCGUGAGGAGAAAGAUUUAUCGCCCUUAGACGGGCCCGCGUAGGAUUAGGUAGUUGGUGGGGUAAUGGCCUACCAAGCCUACGAUCCUUAGCUGAUCUGAGAGGANGAUCAGCCACACUGGGACUGAGACACGGCCCAGACUCCUACGGGAGGCAGCAGUGGGGAAUCUUGGACAAUGGGCGCAAGCCUGAUCCAGCCAUGCCGCGUGAGUGAAGAAGGCCUUCGGUU